UCCAGCAAAUUCCUUGUAACCGGCAAACCCUAAUUUUCGUUUCCAUCGUCUUCGUUUCUCGUCUAUCUCUCCCUCGCCCACUACGAGUCUCUCCGCCCGCUGGGAAAAUCAUGUCUCACUUCGGAAGGUCGGGCCCUCCGGAUAUCGCCGACACAUACUCCCUCCUCGUUCUCAACAUCACCUUCCGCACUACUGCUGAUGAUCUAUAUCCUCUCUUUGCCAAGUACGGGAAGGUCGUGGAUGUCUUUAUUCCCAGGGAUCGGAGGACUGGCGAUUCACGUGGCUUUGCCUUUGUCCGGUACAAGUACCAAGAUGAAGCUCAGAAAGCUGUGGACAGGCUCGAUGGAAGAGUUGUUGAUGGUCGAGAAAUAACGGUUCAAUUCGCUAAAUAUGGGCCAAAUACUGAAAGAAUUCAAAAAGGAAGAAUUUCUGAAUCACUUCCAAGGUCGAGACAUAGAUCAAGAAGUCGCAGUCCUCGAAGGAGCCGUAGUCCUUACAGACGACGUAGCCCAAGGAGAAGUCGUAGUCCUCGGAGGAGGUCCCGAGAUGACUACAGGGAGAGGGACUACAAGAGGAGGAGCAGGAGUAGAAGCAGGAGCAGGAGCAGAAGCAGAAGCAGAAGCUAUGAAAGGCAUGAUCGGGACAGGCACAAUGAAAAGGAAAGAGAUUAUGAUCGGCGGAGCAGGUCUCGCAGUGCUAGCCCAGAUGAUCACAAAGGACGAGCUAGAGGCCGUUAUGAUGAUGAGCGUCGUGGUCACUCCUUGAGUGCCUCUCCUGCUCGCCGCAGUGCUAGUCCUAGGAGUCCAUCCCCUCUCAAGGCCUCAUCUCCUAGGGAUCUCAGUCCUGAUAAGCGGAACAAUGGAAGGUCUCCAUCUCCUCGGAGCCUUUCUCCUCGGGAUAAGGCUGCUGCUUCCCGUAGUCCAUCUCCAUGUGCUGAGGAAUGAUGCGUUCUGGGUCAACUUGAUGUGAUGGUGCUAGUUUGGUGAUAAAAAAUUAGACGUGUUGCCUGUACCAAUGAUCUCUCAUCUUGAAGCCCGUUCAUGUGGGAAACUUCUAGCCUCUAUAGUAUUGCUUUCCUUGUGUUCGAGAAAAGAAUUGACUGGGAAGAUGGACACCAUGUUGAUAGAGUAGCUGUUGAUGCUGUGUGUGAACUGUAGAUGGAUGUGGGUGAUGGAUGCUGGUGACAGCACACUCUUCUGCUGGUUGUAGCAUUUUGUCUCUUAACUGAAAGUAUGUGGUAAGAUAUUACAUUUGCUAUAUUAAGAAGCCAAAUGUCUUACCCAUCUCUAUCAAUUCCCCUCUAUCUGUUUACAUGGUGAAGGGUAUGGGUUGGUCAUCCUUUAUAGCCAAUUGCUAGUGGUUGCA